rnacentral:rRNA from 1 species
CUCGUAGGCGGCCUGUCACGUCGGAAGUGAAAACCCGGGGCUCAACCCCGGGCCUGCUUUCGAUACGGGCAGGCUUGAGUUCGGUAGGGGAGACUGGAACUCCUGGUGUAGCGGUGGAAUGCGCAGAUAUCAGGAAGAACACCGAUGGCGAAGGCAGGUCUCUGGGCCGAUACUGACGCUGAGGAGCGAAAGCGUGGGGAGCAAACA